GAGGUGCUUUGCACCUAGUGGCGAACGGGUGAGUAACACGUAACAAACCUACCUUUUAGUGGGGGAUAACAGUUGGAAACGACUGCUAAUACCGCAUACGACACCAUUAUGGCAUCAGAAGGUGUUAAAAGGCCCGUUUGGGUCGCUAGAAGAUGGGGAUGCGGCGUAUUAACUAGUAGGUGGGGUAAUUGCCCACCUAGGCAAUGACACGUAGCCGAACUGAGAGGUUGAUCGGCCACAUUGGGACUGAGAUACGGCCCAGACUCCUACGGGAGGCAGCAGUAGGGAAUUUUUCACAAUGGACGAAAGUCUGAUGAAGCAAUGCCGCGUGAGUGAUGACGGUCUUCGGAUUGUAAAGCUCUGUUGUAAGGGAAGAAUAGGUAAAAGAGGAAAUGCUUUUAUUUUGACGGUACCUUACCACAAAGCCCCGGCUAACUAUGUGCCACCACCCGCGCUAAUACAUAGGUGGCAAGCGUUAUCCGGAUUUAUUGGGGCGUACAGGGUGCGUAUGCGGUUCUAUAACUUUGAGGUUAAAUCUCCGGGCACAACCCCGGGGUCGCCCUAUAGAACUGUCUUACAAGAAUACACCAGA
rnacentral:rRNA from 1 species